rnacentral:rRNA from 1 species
GAUGAACGCUGGCGGCGUGCUUAACACAUGCAAGUCGAACGGAAAGGCCGAACUUUUCUUCGGUACUCGAGUGGCGAACGGGUGAGUAACACGUGGGUGACCUGCCCUUUACUUCGGGAUAAGCUUGGGAAACUGGGGCUAAUACCGGAUAUGACCUCCUGCUGCAUGGGGUUGGGUAAAGCGUUUCCGCUAUGGGGUGAGCUCGCGGCCUAUCAGCGUGUGUGUGGGGGGUUGGCCUACCAAAGGGUUGACGGGGAGACGGCGUGUGAGAGUGUGCGGCCACAUUGGGGCUCUGAGAUGGCCCCGAGUCCCACGGGGGGCGGCAGUGGGGAAUAUUGCACACUGUGGGCGCGCCUGAUGCAGCGACGCCGCGUGUGCGGUAACGGCCUUCGCGUUGUAAACUCCUUUCUCGAUUGACGCAGCCUGUUAGUGACGGUAGUUGGUGAAGAAGCACCGGCUAACUACGUG